AACUUUCAACAACGGAUCUCUUGGCUCUCGCAUCGAUGAAGAACGCAGCGAAAUGCGAUAAGUAAUGUGAAUUGCAGAAUUCAGUGAAUCAUCGAAUCUUUGAACGCACCUUGCGCCCCUUGGUAUUCCGAGGGGCAUGCCUGUUUGAGUGUCAUUAA
rnacentral:rRNA from 1 species